rnacentral:rRNA from 1 species
AUGAGCAGCUUGGCCCUCUUCUUGCCAAGCUCCUCCUCCUCUCUGUUCCUUACAAAGCAGGUUCACCCUACCAAGGGGAGGGCGCCUGCGGUUGUGAGGUGCAGCGGUGGGCCCACCCUGUCAGGAUCGCAUGAGGAGGAAGAGAGAGAGGGGGUGAUGGUGGCCUUGGUAGGGAGGAGAAAUGCACUGGCCUCUGCAGCAGCAGCUUGUGGAGUUUCGGUGCUUGGUUUUGCAGGCAAUGGCCUGGCGGCGGCCAAGCAGGGCCCGCUGGCAGGGAGGAUCCCUGGGCUCUCUGGCCCUGAUCAGAAUGGUUGGAAAACAUACCGCAGGCCGGAUGAAAAGUCUGGUGGCCACGGAGUCGGCUGGAGCCCGAUCAUCCCGUACAGCUUCAAAGUUCCUGAUGGCUGGGAAGAGACACCAGUGUCGAUUGCUGAUCUCGGUGGCACAGAGAUCGACCUGCGGUUCGGAAACCCCAAGGAGGGCCGACUAUCUGUCAUCGUAGCGCCCACUCGUAGGUUUGCAGAUGACCUUGACGAUGCAACGAUCGAGAAGAUCGGCACGCCGGAGAAGGUGAUCAACGCCUUUGGACCGGAGGUCAUCGGCGAGAAUGUGGAAGGGAAGGUUUUGUCCACAGCCACAGCAGAGUAUUCCGGAAGAACUUACUACCAGUUCGAGCUGGAACCACCCCAUAUCUUCAUCACAGCUACGGCUGCUGGGAAUAGGCUCUACCUGUUCAGCGUCACUGCAAACGGGCUACAAUGGAAAAGGCAUUACAAGGAUCUGAAGCAAAUAGCAGAAUCAUUCCGCGUAGUCUAG